rnacentral:lncRNA from 1 species
UAAAUCUUAAUAAAUUUUUAAACCAACUCUAAUCAAAUUCUUAAUAAAUACUAAUUAAAUCCUAAUAAAUUCUAAUGAAAUCAUAACCAAAUUCUAAACCAAUUUUUAAACCAAAUCUUAAUCAAAUCUUAAUAAAAACUUAAAUUCUAAUCCUAGAUCAAAUCCUAAUAAAAUCCUAAAUCAAUUCUAAUUAAAUCCUAAUCAAUUCUUAAUAAAUCCUAACAAAAUCCUAAUAAAAUCCUAAAUUCUAAUCAAAUCUUAGUCUAAAUCCUAAUAAACUCUUUAUAAAAUUCUAACCAAAUCUUAAACCAAAUCUUAGACUAAAUCUUAAUCAAAUGCUAAUAAAAUAUUAAUAAAAUCUUAAAUCAAUACUAAUAAAAUCCUAAUCAAAUCUAAAAUCUUCACCAAAAUUUAAUCAAAUAUUACAUCAUAAUUAAAUCGUAAUAAAAUUUUAAAUCUUAAUAAAAUUUUAAUCAAAUAUUAUAUUCUAAUUAAAUCCUAAUUCAAAUCCUAAUAAAAUCAUAAUAAAAUUAUAACCAAAUUCUAGUCCAAAUUCUAAUCAAAUUCUAAAUCUUAAUCAAAUCCUAAUCAAAUCUAAAUCCUAACCAAACCUUAAAAAAAAUCAUAAAACUUAAUCAAAUCUUAUUUAAAUCUUAAUAAAAUCUUAAUGAAAUUUUAACCAUAUUCUAAAUCAAAUACUAAUUAAAUAUUAAAUCAAUCUUAAUUAAAUUUUAAUCAAAUCUUAAUCAAAUCUUAAUCAAAUCUUUAAUCUUAAUCAAAUCCUAAAUAAAUCUUAAAUUCUAAUCAAAUCUAAAUCCAAAUCCUAAUAAAAAUCUAAUAACAUCCUAAUUAAAACUUAGACCAAAUCUUAAUCAAAUCCUAAAAAAAUCCUAAAUCUUAAUCAAAUCUUAAUUCAAAUCCUAAUAAAAAGUUUAUGAAAUAUUAACCAAAUUUUAGAUCAAAUCCUAAUCAAAUACUAAUAAAAUCUUAAAUCAAUUCUAAUUAAAUUUUAAUCAAAUAUUAAUAAAAUUCUAAAUUUUUAUCUAAUUCUAAUUAAAAUUAAAAUUCUAAAUCUUAAUCAAAUUCUGAUUAAACUUUAAAUUCUAAUCAAAUUCUAAACAUAUCCUAAAUUCUAAUACAACCUUAGACCAAAUCAUAAUGAAAUCCUAGUCAAAUCCUCAUCAAAUCCUAAAUCCUAUAAAAAAUUGAAAUAUCA